GUUCAAUUGUUUGUUUUACUAAAAUUAACUCAAAAAAUAGAGCUAAAACUAAAUAAACUAUAAAGUCGAGUUGACGAGCAAAGUCUAUAUGCAUAGCAAGCUGUCCCUUGCACCAAUACCAGCUAAGGUUCUGAUGAUCAAUGUUCAAUUGUUCAAUAAUCGAUCAAUGCUCAACGUUUUGUCAGUUAAAUAAUUGUUAAUUCAAGAUAUUCUCGUUCUCACAAAUUGUGUUCAAUAUUUUGCUAUGUACCUCAUAAUAAUACUAUUCAGAUAAUUUAAU